ACUCAAAUGAAUUGACGGGGACCCACACAAGCGGUGGAGCAUGGGGUUUAAUUCGAUAGUAAGCGAAGAACCUUACCUAGGCUUGACAUCCCGAGAACCCGCCAGAAACGGUGGGGUGCCGCAAGGAACUCGGAGACAGGCGCUGCACGGUUGUCGUCAGCUCGUGCCUUGAGGUGUACUGUUAAGUCAGCGAACGAGCGCAACCCUCAUCCUAUGUUGAAUUUUCAUGGGAGACUGCCGCCUCCAAGGCGGAGGAAGGUGGGGACGACGUCAAAUCAGCGUGGCCCUUAUGCCUAGGGCGACACCCGUGCUACAAUGGCCGAUACAGAGGGCAGCGAAGCCGUAAGGCGGAGCUAAUCCCACAAAGUCGGUCUCAGUCCGGAUUGUAGUCUGCAACUCGACUGCAUGAAGUUGGAAUCGCUAGUAACCGUGAAUCAGCCACGUCACGGUGAAUAUGUUCCUGGGUCUUGUACACACCGCCCGU
rnacentral:rRNA from 1 species